rnacentral:rRNA from 1 species
GACGUAGGAUGCGAGCGUUAUUCGGAUUUAUUGGGCGUAAAGCGUGCGUAGGCGGCUAUCUAAGUCUGGUGUUAAAGCUAGGGGCUCAACCCCUGUGAUGCACUGGAUACUGGGUAGCUUGAGUGCGGUAGGGGAAGGUGGAAUUCCGAGUGUAGCGGUGAAAUGCGUAGAUAUUCGGAAGAACACCGGUGGCGAAGGCGACCUUCUGGGCCGCAACUGACGCUGAGGCACGAAAGCCUGGGGAGCAAACAGG